rnacentral:misc_RNA from 1 species
AUCGCUGCAGGCCUGGUGAAGGAGGAGUUGCUCAGUGAACUACUAGUUUGAGUUCCCUGAGACGGACACCACUGACAUCACCUACAGUGCCGAGGUACAGGCUUAAUGGCAGAUAUCAAUAGGAGAUGAUGGUGCUGCCACGGACUUUGGCUCGUGGGGGUGCCGUCGCUACUGACAAAGCCUUUGCUCCCCGUCGUCCCUGUUGAAAUGGUGGCUGGAACUUGGAGAGGGUUUGCCGCCACAGCUGGAUCCAGUGUUACAUUCCUGUGGCUUUUUGGUUGUUUCCCAAUUAUUGAAGGGAGUUGCAGGCUUAUCAUGGGCGACACAGUGCUUUGCUCGCACCUUCACGGAGUACAGCAAUGUGGGGAAGCAAGUCGAGGACAGCCUCUCUCGAUUUCUGUCCCGGGGGCGCUAUGCUCUUCCAGCUGACACCUUACAGACAUGUCAGGAAGCAAGGAAAGGUUAUUUUUUCACUCAUCGUUUACAUUUGGGUGAUUAACUUAGUCUUGAAAAAAAACACGU